rnacentral:rRNA from 1 species
AGUAACACGUGAGCAACCCGCCCCCAACGGCCGGAACAAGCGCUGGAAACGGCGUCUGAAACCGGAUGACGGACCCCCCUCCGCAUGUGGGGUCGUCCAAAUAUUCAUACCCUGGGGAUGGGCUCGCGGCCCAUUAGCUUGUCGGCGGGGCAACGGCCCACCGAGGCGACGACGGGUAGGUGGUCUGAGAGGAUGGUCACCCACACUGGGACUGAGACACUGCCCAGACUCCUGCGGGAGGCUGCAGUCGAGAAUCUUCCGCAAUGGGCGCAAGCCCUGACGGAGCGAUGCCGCGUGAGGGACGGAGGCCUUCGGGUCGUGAACCUCUGUCGCCCGGGACGAUGAUGACGGUACCGGGAAAGGAAGCCACGGCUAACCACGUGCCAGCAGCCGC